GUAGGGUAAAAUGGGCACAGGCUUUGCAGUCAGAUGAUGUUUUUUAAUAGGUGUGAUUGGUAAAACGAGGCUGUUGAUUUUGUUAAAACAGACUAAUUGCCAAUAAAGGCAUUUAGGGUCGGUAAUGAGCUAGUCGCUAAAGCUUCCUAGUCCUAAUUCUGGCCGCGCUCUCCAUUCUAAACAGCAAAGCCACGCAAAUUUGUUUUUGUCUCCAGAACAAGGAAACCCAUAGUGAGCUGCUGGGGUCUGAUAACAUGAGGACCAAAGAAGAGUCAAUGCAAGUCAAGCUGGCUAUGAUGAGGCAGAGAAAUGAGAAUACAUCAGGAACACUCACCAGAAGGUGGCUGACCCGCCUUGCCUCUCUAGUUCUUAGAGGACUUGAAUUAAAGGUCAUAUAACAUUAGACACAGACAAAAGGAUUUCAGGCUUCAGCAUUAUCUGCAGCAAUACCCGACACGAGAUCAAAGUGGAAAUAAGGUGGGGAACUCCAAAACUGAUCUGACUACUGGCAAUGGCAGUUGGAUGCAAGUGGGUGAUUGCAGAACAGGGUCUGAAUGGAAGAACCCCCAGAUGAAUAAUUAGAAGCCACCCUGGAACCACUGUGGACCUCCUCUGUGACCCACUUCCCUCUACUCAGCCAGAAGAAAGACACUCUUGUUUCUCCUACUAAAAAAAAGUGGAAGUAUUUGCUUGUGAGAUAAGGCCCAGGGCUUCUUUACAGGCCUUAGGGGGAAUGUUCUUAAUCUUAGGGAGACAGCAAUCCCAUGGUGGGUGGCAUUUUAUUCCACUGUCAUAAAAUGUAACGUAAGGCCUCAAGUAGGCACUGUGUGAUUCAAGUUUUCUUCAGUCGGUCUCAUGUACAAAACAUGUUUUAUGUUGCAGUGUUCAUUUCCAAUCAAAUUUUCUCAUUGUUUUGGAUAGGGUCGUUCUUCUCUGUUGUCAAAAUAUGUUUAACUUAAUCUGAGUUAUUUUCAGUUUUCUAUUUGUAAU